UACGUAGGCAGCAAGCGUUGUUCGGAAUUACUGGGCGUAAAGAGUACGUAGGUGGUUUGCUAAGUCCGAUGUGAAAUCUCCCGGCUUAACUGGGAGGGUGCGGUCGAUACGGGCAGACUUGAGUUCGGUAGGGGAGACUGGAAUUCCUGGUGUAGCGGUGAAAUGCGCAGAUAUCAGGAGGAACACCGGUGGCGAAGGCGGGUCUCUGGGCCGAUACUGACGCUGAGGAGCGAAAGCGUGGGGAGCGAACAGG
rnacentral:rRNA from 1 species